AGCGCAGACGGUUAUUUAAGUCUGAAGUGAAAGCCCUCAGCUCAACUGAGGAAUGGCUUUGGAAACUGGAUGACUUGAGUGCAGUAGAGGAAAGUGGAACUCCAUGUGUAGCGGUGAAAUGCGUAGAUAUAUGGAAGAACACCAGUGGCGAAGGCGGCUUUCUGGACUGUAACUGACGUUGAGGCCCGAAAGUGUGGGUAGCAAACA
rnacentral:rRNA from 1 species